rnacentral:rRNA from 1 species
GACGAACGCUGGCGGCGUGCCUAAUACAUGCAAGUCGAACGCAGUGGGGACGGGUGAGUAACACGUGGGUAACCUCCCAUCAGAGGGGAUAACACUUGGAAACAGGUGCUAAACCGAUACUGAUGGAUGGACCCGCGGUGCAUUAGCUAGUUGGUGAGGUAACGGCUCACCAAGGCCACGAUGCCUAGCCGACCUAGUAUGUGUAUCGGCCACACUGGGACUGAGCGAGGGCCCAGACUCCUACGAGAGGCAGCAGUAGCGAAUCUUCGGCAAUGGACGAAAGUCUGACCGAGCAACGCCGCGUGAGUGAAUAAGUUUUUCAGAUCGUAAAACUCUGUUGUUAUAGAAGCGGUAUCUAACCAGAAAGCCACGGCUAACUACGUGCCAGCAGCCGCGGUAAUAC